rnacentral:rRNA from 1 species
AGUGAACGCUGGCGGCAGGCCUAACACAUGCAAGUCGAGCGGCAGCACGGCAAUAGCAAUAUUGUGGGUGGCGAGCGGCGGACGGGUGAGGAAUGCAUCGGGAUCUACCCUGUCGUGGGGGACAACGUAGGGAAACUUACGCUAAUACCGCAUGAUCUGGAGACAGCAAAGCCGGGGACCUUCGGGCCUGGCGCGAUGGGAUGAGCCGAUGUCCGAUUAGCUAGUUGGCGGGGUAAAGGCCCACCAAGGCGACGAUCGGUAGCUGGUCUGAGAGGACGACCAGCCACACUGGAACUGAGACACGGUCCAGACUCCUACGGGAGGCAGCAGUGGGGAAUAUUGGACAAUGGGGGCAACCCUGAUCCAGCCAUGCCGCGUGGGUGAAGAAGGCCU